CAAGAUCUAAUACCCUCUUCAAAUCACAGAGGCUUCAGUUAUUUUCCUCAAGAUUCUGCUCAUCAAAAGGUAUAGUGAUCAAAGAGAAAGGCCAGAGGCAAGUUAUUGAAGACAUAAGAAAAAGACUGAAGGACAAAAAGUACAUUAGAGAAAUGUUUAUCUUUAACGCGGAUAAAUGAAAAGUGAGAGUCAGAAAGACAGCCAAAGACAUGAGUAAAACUUCAAAAAAGAAUAUAACACAUGGAACAAUUAUUCUAUUAUGAAAGAAAAUGAACCAAAAAUCCUCAAUGAAAACAAAAAGAGAAAGAGACAAUGAGUGCUGUGGAUUCCCUAGUGAUCAAGGAAUAACAUCAGAAAUACCAGCAAUAAGUUAAGGUCAACUAGAUGAUGAUUGGUGAGAUACAAGCAUGUUUGUAAACAGAAGAGAAGCAAUCAAUAGACAAAAAGAAAAUAUGGAUGACAGAAGGAGCAAUCUCUUGGA